rnacentral:rRNA from 1 species
UACGUAGGGGGCAAGCGUUGUCCGGAUUUAUUGGGCGUAAAGAGCGUGUAGGCGGCCAGAUAGGUCCGUUGUGAAAACUGGAGGCUUAACCUCCAGCUGUCGAUGGAAACCAUCUGGCUAGAGUCCGGAAGAGGAGAGUGGAAUUCCUGGUGUAGCGGUGAAAUGCGCAGAUAUCAGGAGGAACACCCGUGGCGAAGGCGGCUCUCUGGGACGGUACUGACGCUGAGACGCGAAAGCGUGGGGAGCGAACAGG